UACGGAGGGUGCAAGCGUUGUUCGGGCUCACUGGGCGUAAAGCGCACGUCGGCGGCCUGCCGUGUCGAGUGUGAAAGCCCUCGGCUCAACCGAGGAAGUGCAUUCGAGACUGGUAGGCUUGAGUUCGGUAGAGGAGAGUGGAAUUCCGGGUGUAGAGGUGAAAUUCGUAGAUAUCCGGAGGAACACCAGUGGCGAAAGCGACUCUCUGGGCCGACACUGACGCUGAGGUGCGAAAGCGUGGGGAGCAAACAGG
rnacentral:rRNA from 1 species